rnacentral:rRNA from 1 species
AGAAUCAACGCUGGCGGCGUGCCUAACACAUGCAAGUCGAACGCGAAAGGGACUUCGGUCCUGAGUAGAGUGGCGAACGGGUGAGUAACGCGUGGGUGACCUACCCUCGAGUGGGGGAUAACGUUCCGAAAGGGACGCUAAUACCGCAUGACAUUCCGGGUUUGAAGACCUGGAAAUCAAAGCCGGGGACCGUAAGGCCUGGCGCUCGAGGAGGGGCCCGCGUCUGAUUAGCUAGUUGGCGGGUAACGCCCACCAAGGCGACGAUCAGUA